CCCUUAGAUGUUCUGGGCUGCACGCGCGCUACACUGUCGGAUUCAGCGAGUCAUAUCCUUAACCGAAAGGUUUGGGUAAUCUUUUGAAAGUCCGACGUGAUGGGGAUUGAUCAUUGCAAUUAUUGAUCAUGAACGAGGAAUUCCUAGUAAGCGCGAGUCAUCAGCUCGCGUUGAUUACGUCCCUGCCCUUUGUACACACCGCCCGUCGCUACUACCGAUUGAAUGGUUUAGUGAGAUCUUCGGAUUGGCGCCUACGUGGCUUCUCUGAGGCCACGCUGGAUGCCGAAAAGUUGCUCAAACUGUAUCAUUUAGAGGAAGUAAAAGUCGUAACA
rnacentral:rRNA from 1 species